rnacentral:lncRNA from 1 species
CGUCUGUGUAAUCAAUGUACCCUAACCAGCUAGCGGUAUUAUUAUUCUAAAUAACGGACCAGGCUAGCUGCUCUUUAAUCUCUAGGAUUAAAAUUAUGAAUAAGUACCCUGUGAUCCUUUCGGGGUUAAUAAAUUCUACUGUUGGUGUAUACCUUAUGAAAAUCGAAAUCAAGUGUUCUUUGUUUUGAUUCACUGCUUCUUUUUUCUUUUCUUCUUUUUGGAAUUCUGUUUCUUGCCAUUAAUGGUGAUCAUUAAUUAGAGGUUAAAGCUACGUCUUGAUACUGAUCAUCGCAAGCUUGAAUAAGAGUGGAAAAUGCAAAAAGUCAGGUGAUUGAUUAUUUUGCCGACUAAUAUUUUAAUGGAUAAGCACCGACAAACUCUGUGGCAAAGAUUAAAUCACGAGUUUCUUAUUGUUACAUAUGCGUGUGUGUACAGUGGCGAAGCUCGCAUAUUUUUUUGGGUGGACUAUAUUUUUUAAAAAAAUGAAAUUUAUUUCUUAAAAAAUUUGUUUUAUACAAACGAAAUUAAGCACACUACAUAACCAAAAAUCUAACCAUAAAACUACAAAAAAUAUAAUGUAAAUAAGAAAAAAAUUAUCAAAUAUUAAAUUUAUUUGUUUUUAUUUUUUAUAAAUAUUAAUAAAAUAAAUUUAUAAAUUAUAAUUUUUUUAAAAAAAAAACAAACCCGGGCUGCACCUUUAGCUUCGCCCCUGUGUGUGUAUGUAUGUAUGUAUGCAUUUUAUGUUAAUAAAUUUAUCUUGUUUCUUGAGGUUUACUUUAAAAAAAAACUGCGCACAAAAGUAUUAAUAAUUUGAAAGGGCGCGAUUCCUCAAAUUAUGAGGGAAAACAAAUUAUUAAUUAGCACAAAAAUAAAAAAAAACGCAUAUGUACAAGCGUUUACACGGCUAAGCUUUCAACUUCAAUUUAUUUUGAAUUUUUUGCUUUAUAGUUUCUUCAAUCUUCAAUUUAAUCUCAAUUAUUGAUUAAGAAAAAUUGAUCAUCAAUGAAUAUAAAAAUUAUUUCACUCAACUUUUACCAAUCAACCAUUGUUUUUAAAAUUAUUAAGAAGAUAAAAAAAAAAUUCAUCAAUCCACCUUUUUUUUCCUUAUUUUUGGAAUAAAAUGGAAUAAGUUGAGGAUUACAAUUGUUUGAGAUAUAUUUUAAAGAUCAUCAGUGUAUGAAGAGGGUAAUCCACAAUUUACCCCUCAAACAAUUGCUGAAAUUUAGCAUUUGAUCUCAUAAAUGAAUAAAAGUAAAAUUUACCUUGUUCAUGUCAUUGCUUAAGAGAUUUAAAAUAACUUCAAUUUUUAUUUUUUUUUUGACUUAGUGCUCUCACCCUCAUAUUUAUGUGCAUAUUUAAGAUUUCCUUGGAUGAAAAGCAAUGCUUCUUGUGGCUAUAAUAGUUUGGGAUGGAAGGGCGUAAAAUAAGGAUAGAUAACUUUCUCUUUAAUUCCUAGGGUCUAUGCUAGUUUUAGUCUUUGUAUUUUCAAAAAAUCAUCCAAAACUUCUUGGUUGUUAGUCUCUCAUAGUUGGAUUUACUUUAAUUAGAUAAAAUGGUAGUUUUGUUAUAAUAAAACUUAAAAUUCAAAUAAAUUUUACGUGAUACAUUUUGAAACAUAUAGAAAUAAUAAGCGUAAUUUAACAGCCUAAGGGUACUUGACAUUCUAUUUGGGUAACCACUCGAAUUCGAGUCUUGGGGAGGUAAGAACUAGUGCAUAUCAUGUAGUAAUCUCUAUUUUUACCAUAUGUUAUAUUAUAAUAGCCAAAAUUGAAUAGGAUAGUUUUACAAUGUGAAGGGGGAGAGUGAGAGAAAGAAAUGUGAUGACAAUAAUAUCUUGGUGAAAACUAUCACUUACAAUUUAGGAACAUUCAUGUUGUAUUGCCAAGAAUCAAUGAUAAAAAUAUGCGAAAGCAUAUUUGAAUCAAUAAUGCAUGAUUAUUUUGUAAAGUCAUAGUUAGCCUUCCAAAUCAAAACUUUCUUCUAGAGAAUCCUUUAAUUUUCUUUGUACACUCUUUUUUAUGAUAGGAUGUUGUUGUGCAAAUUUUAUUGAACUCGCAAGUGCACGAAUUUAUUGUAGAAUAGACUAAUGGUGACGAGUGUCGACAAUGAAAAUUAUUUAUUUUAAUCAUAAAAAUUUAAAUUAUUAAUUGAAUAUAAGUAAUAAUAAAAUAUAAAUGAAUCUUAUGUUAUUAAUUUAAUAUAAAAUAUUAAAAUAAUAUUAUUAUUUUUUAUAUAAUACAAUCCACUAUACACCAAACAUAAUAUUGCAGUAUAGUUUAAUACAUUAUAAUACAAUGCAACCUAAUACAACAUAACUAAUGCAGUACAAUACAAUACAUUACCGCGCGCUGAACGUAAAGUAACAUCAAAUAAUCCUAUGCAAAUGGAAAUAAAAUCUUAAUUAUUAAUUUGAAAUCUUCUGUACAGCUUCCUAGAAAUUUCUAAUCAUUUAUGAGAUUGUCAUAAAUUUUUCAUAUGGUAAGCCUUAAAUGUACCUGAUUUAUACACAAAAUUUGAUAAGUAAACUUCUUACAAAAUAUAGUAUUUUUCCUUGUUAUUAAUAGUUCAAUUGGCGGAGUAUAAUUAUCAAUUAGUGGACGACAACGGGUGAACCGCUAUGGUUCAAUUGGCAAAUUUCGUGAAAGUAUGCAUGGGUCGUUGGGGCAAAUCACAAAAUAAGUACCGUAAAAGAGCUGAUAAUUCAUAUGAAUAAAUACUCUUUUAGUUCUUACUUUUUUUUUAAAGUUGUUUAAAGUUUCAGUUUAGUCCUUAUUUAAAAAAAAAGUAUCUUAAGACAUCUCUAUUAUUAAAUAUGUUCCAUUCCUACCCUUACUUAUUCUUUUCUUUACAAUAAUACCCUUGCAUAAUAUUUUGGGAUAUUUGAUAGAAAAAUUAUAAUUUAUCAAAUUACCUUAAAAGUAACAUAAAAAUUUACCAAACUUUUAUAUUAUUAUCUUACUUUCAGGAUUAAUUUUGUAAAUUAAUUUUUUAUGAAAUAAUUAUUAAUAAGAUUGUUUUAAGCAUAAUAAAUACUACUUAAAUUGGCUGAUAUUAAUUUAUUUUUAAAUAAUUAUUAGCAAAUUUAUUGCAUGAGUACAAAAAAUAAUAAUUCUUUGAUACUAAUAUUUAUUAGUUAAUUUGCCAACAAACAGUCAUUGGUUGAUUUACUAAAAUUAAUUUUUUUAAAGAUAAAUUAGUUAAUGUAAAGAGUAAUAUUGAAAGGAUACAAUUUUAAAAAUAAAGUAAAAAUUAGUGUAAAAAUGUAAUAUAUCUAACUGUAAGGGUGUUUUAAGGUACUUUUAAAAUAUAGGGACUAGAUAGAUAUUUAAGUCAAAAUUAUGGAGACCAUAUUAACAUUUACCCAUUUGUAUAAUAUCCAUUUACUUACUCAAUACAUAAUUAACUAAUUACGGGGCAUAUUUUUAGUUGUUUCCUUGUUGCUUGUAGAAUGAAAUUCAACGACCAUCAGUUUAAAUUCAUAGCUCAACUACUCAAGUCCUUCACAGUCUAAAUUUGUUUGUAUUAAGUCAGUGAGUAAUGAAUUUCACCGUUAAAAACAUUGAAAACGUUGACAUAAAUAUAGAAUGAUAAUUAUACCCCCUAUAUCUCUUAUUAAUGAUUUACAGUCCAUUUUCCUCCUUUUUUCCCUUUAUUAUCACGUUAAAAAUCUUACAGUUUGGUAAACAAUAACAAUAGACUUCUUUUAGUUCACAAAAACAUGAUAAAAAGCUUCUGAAAUCUGCACCACAAAAAUUAAAAGUUGCUUUUACUUUUUAUUUCGAGAAAAAAUCAAUUCACGUCAUAUGCGAAAGAAACAUGGCUACGAGAUAUUGGCUUGGGCUUGUGUACACCAAGGGGACAAUGAAUGACGCAAGUCACGACGGAUGGCUGUAGUUUUGUCUUCCCGCCAAUCGCGAUUGUACAUCAGUCCAUUUAAAACAAUAGUUGCACCAUAGUUUUGCCCAUCAACUUGGCAUAGGUUUUGCAUUAUUUAUUGUGUAGGGACGAUAUAGAUGUGCAAGACUAUUUCUAGCUUAAAAUCAACGUGCAGGGGAGAUAAAAUAGGUAUACAAUCGGUGGGUGAAGCGAAGAAAUAAGGAUCACAUUAAAAUGUUAAAUAUCAUUCCCAAUCAACAUUAAAUUUAUGGUUGUCAUAUUGUGAUAUUGAAGUUCAUGGACCCAAUUUAUACUCAAAUUAAAAUUAGCUCAAGAGUGGAGGGUAACAUGGUUAUUGUCAGCCAACUUGGGAUAUUUUCCUCAACAAUCCCAGUAAUGAGCAAGCUAGCAGGUGCAGAAGCUGAAAACUUUAGCUGCAGGGAUGCGUGUGUAUGGAAAACAAUUAAGAUAAAUUUUAUUGUAUUAUACAAUUUGUUGAUGUAAUGAAAGACUCUAUGCCAUUUUUAAUAAGUUUAUUCAUCAUAUGUGAAGGUAUCCAAAUCAAUAAGACUUAUAAACACACCCAAAAAAGAUAAGUUGUAAUAAAAUUAUAAUAGACAUGUAGAAAUUUAAAGGUGCAGUGCAUGAUUAGAGUACUUAUAGUAAAAAUUAGGAUAGAGAGAGCUAUAUAUAUACUCAAUUUGUUAAAAUGAAAAUAUUACUAUCAAACAAAAAAAUAUUUUCGUACUUUUACAUUUUUAUUAUGAUUUAGUAAAAUAUUUUCGUAUUAGAAAAAAUUUCUAAUUUCUUAUAGAGGUCAUGACCCAUAUUACAUGAUAAGGUAGUGUAAUCUCACUCGCACAUAAAUGCCGCUCUAAUAUUACAUUGAAGCUCAUGAAUUUAAUUUAUAAUAAAACACCAACUCAAGAAUUACGAGUCAUUUUAAGCUAAUAAUAUUAGCUUACAAAUAUUCUUAGCCAAUGUGUGAUUUUUUCCUUUGCGUAGGACGCGCCAAACCUGGCAAAUGGCAGGUCAUAAUUGAACGGAGAGGGAUAAAGGGACUCUUGAACUUAGAAAAUGGCAAGUCCUCUAUUGUUAGGCCCACCACCUGUGCAUGCCCCCACAAAAUUCUUAGUGCGGAAACAAAUCAUUUUUAUUUAAGUGGCUAGUUAUUUUUCAUUACCAGCUUUAAUUAAUGUCGAAAACGUCAAAACGUCAGAUGAUAUAUUGCCGAUUGGAUAAGUAACCACCAACUCUGUGGCGAGAUUAAGUCACGAGUUACUUAUUUUUAUUAUCUCUGUUUGUCAAUUUUUUUUGCAUAUUCUGUGUAUUUACUAGUUGUGAUGUCUAUGGUUUUGUUAUUUCGCACGUUAAAGUGCUGAUGCAUACUGCAUACAUAUAUUCGAAUGUGGACCAUUAUAAAAACUAAUAAUUCUCUGAAGUCGCUCUCAUCCAAAUGAAUUGGAGUAUCAGAUACAAAUAAUUGUAAUAAGAUACGCAUGAUGAAUACUUUGUAUAAGAUACAAUAAUUUGGUAGUUGAAUUUACACACUGAGUUGAGUUGUGAUCGAUCUUCUCAUAAUUUUUGUGUUAUGUACAUAUUUAUAAUUUGUACCUUUAAGUUUUAAUUACUUUUAUGGUACAUUUACUAAUUGAUCAUCAGAGUAUAUUUGAAUUAAAAUAGAUUAGAAUAAGAAUGAUAAAUAAGAAUAAAAAUAAGUUAUUUACUUUAAUUAUAGGAAUCAGAAAUGAAAUGAUUAUAUUCUCAUUUAUGUGUUUAUCUUAUUAAAAUACCCUUAGUUUAUCAUUGCCAUUAUUUUAUUAUUUAUUAUAAUAAUUUUCCUUAUUAUUAUUAAAAAUUAUUGCUAAUAAUAAUAACCAUAAUAAUUAUAAUAAUCAUAACAAUAAUAUAAUUUUCUCUCUCUCCUUUUGUUUUACGCUAUUUUUUCUGUCUUUUGGCAUUUUUUUGGCUUUUUCUCCUCUUCUUGUCGUUUAUUCUUAUUCUGUUUCUUCUUUGUCUCUUUUUCUUCGUUACUUCUUCUUCUUCUCAUUUUUAAAUUUCUGUUUUCAUUUUUAUUUUUCUCUUCUUUAUUUCUUCCUCUUCUCUGUCUAUUUCAACUUCAAAUGAACAAAUUAAAAACGCCGUCAGAGCUGCAUGACGACCGAGAAAGCGAUUAAGAUGGUACUGCUCGAUCACAUUGGCGACUGCUGUUCUGAUUUGUGCUGAAGCAAUUUUGAUUGCCGGAACAAAAUAAAUUAUAAGUUUCGGGUUGCCGUGACUUUUAAUUAUUUUUUGUAUUUUAUAUUUUUAAUAUUUAAAUGAAAGAUAAAGUUAAAAUAAUGAAAUUUGGAUGGGUACUUUAGGAAAUUUCGGCAAUGAAAGUCUGAUUUAAGAAUUAGAUUCCAUCCAAAUCAUAUUCUCAAUUUGAUGCGGGUCAGAUAGAAGGCUGAAUCACACAUGAAUGCAAGUUCGACACCAAAAAUUAAUUUGAAUAAAUAAACGAAAUAAAAAUAUCGUUAUCAUGCAUGAGUUUGAGAUAAAUGUUAAGAAAUUGACAAUUUGAAUAAAGAAAAUAAGAAAAAAGAGACUCAAUCAUGCAUGAGCUUUGCUUGGAGCUACUUGAAAGACCUUGCACCUAAGCUACUCUAGCUCUCUAUAAAUUCUAACUCUUCUUCACCGAAUGCAACGCGCAUCAAACAGAUAUAUAGCUUUGAAAACAACAAAAUGAAGAUUUCAUUAGCAACAACACUCUCUUUCCUUAUCCUUGCCUUGGCCGCAAACUCUUUGUUGGUCUUGGGCACCUCAUCAGUUCCUGAACCUCUCCUUGAUGUCAACGGCAACAAGGUCGAAUCCACCCUUCAGUACUACAUAGUCUCAGCCAUCUGGGGAGCUGGCGGUGGUGGAGUUAGCCUACACGGUGGCAGAAACGGAUAUUGUCCGCUGGACGUUAUCCAAUUACCUUCUGAUACGCAAAAUGGAAUCAAAUUAACACUGUCACCGUAUAACAAUUCUACAAUUGUCCGAGAAUCCACUGAUCUCAACUUGAGAUUCUCAGUGUUGCUAUCUGGACGUGACUAUUGUAACGAACAACCGUUGUGGAAAGUUGAUAAUUAUGACGCGGCAUCAGGCAAAUGGUUUAUAACAACCGGGGGACUUGAUGGUCACCCUGGAGCUGAAACUUUGCUAAAUUGGUUUAAGCUUGAGAAAAUUGGAAAUUUUCCAGGUACAUACAAAAUCGUUCAUUGUCCAUCCGUUUGCGAGUCUUGUGUCAAACUCUGCAACAACGUUGGCCGUUCGUUUGAGGAUGGCGUUCGACGUCUGGUUCUGGUUCGUGAUGAUGAGCCGGCAUUUCCUGUUGUGUUAAUUCCCGCUACAGAAAGAUCAACGUCUGUGUAAUCAAUGUACCGUAACCAGCUAGCGGUAUUAUUAUUCUAAAUAACGGACCAGGCUAGCUGCUCUUUAAUCUCUAGGAUUAAAAUUAUGAAUAAGAAACCCUGUGAUCCUUUCGGGGUUAAUAAAUUCUACUGUUGGUGUAUACCUUAAAAUGUAAUUUCUUGUUGAACAUGAAAAUCGAAAUCAAGUGUUCUUUGUUUUGAUUCACUGCUUCUUUUUUCUUUUCUUCUUUUUGGCAAAUCUGUUUCUUCCCAUUAAUGGUGAUCAUUAAUUAGAGGUUAAAGCCACGUCUUGAUACUGAUCAUCGCAAGCUUGAAUAAGAGUGGAAAAUACAAAAAGUCGGGUGAUUGAUUAUUUUGCCGACUAAUGUUUUAAUGGAUAAGCACCGACAAACUCUGUGGCAAAGAUUAAAUCACGAGUUUCUUAUUGUUAUAUAUGCGUGUGUGUGUGUAUG